GUGUUUGUAACUUAAUUGGAUAAAGUAUUAAAUUACGAAUUUAAAGAUUGAAAGUUCAACUCUUUCCAAACACA
rnacentral:tRNA from 1 species